GCAGUUCCUGGGCUCCCGCGGAGCGAUGAGACGUUGUGAAUUAGAUGGUCCCAGGAACUCACAGUAUGCUCUAAAAAGGAGAGGGGCAAGAGCUCUGAGUGAGUACAUCCCGUUGGCCCGUGGGAUUUCUUGCCCUAUGGAAAGGAACAUGGACGGAAGAGAAUCAGGUGCUCAGAGCCCUAGACUGGGGCUCCUCUUGCCCCAGUCUUGAGGCAGUUCUAAAGAGCAGCCUCUGGAACCAGAAUGGACGGUCCUCUAGUAACGCUGGAUUCUAUGGGUUGGAAGUACUGCAGCGGCUGGAUCAGGUUCCAGUAAAGUUUUGUACCUUCAAAUGUCUCUGUUGUUAAACAGUGUUGUAGUUAUCUUUCCCAUGGGCCUAGAAAUUAAGGAGACAAAUGUCUACUGAACAUGCUGAGUGCUUGAGAAAGACACUCCAGAUAAAUACAUA
rnacentral:lncRNA from 10 species